rnacentral:rRNA from 1 species
GACGAACGCUGGCGGCGUGCUUAACACAUGCAAGUCGAACGAUGAAGAAAAGAAUCGAAGCUUCGGCAGAAAUUCAUUUCGGAUUAGUGGCAGACGGGUGAGUAACGCGUGAGCAACCUACCUCUUACAAAGGGAUAGCCUCGGGAAACCGGGAUUAAUACCAUAUAACAUUGUGACGAAGCAUUUCGAUGCAAUCAAAGCUACGGCGGUAAGAGAUGGGCUCGCGUCCCAUUAACCGGAUGGUGAGGUAACGGCUCACCAUAGUGACGAUGGGUAACCGGCCUGAGAGGGUGAACGGUCACACUGGAACUGAGACACGGUCCAGACUCCUACGGGAGGCAGCAGUGGGGAAUAUUGCACAAUGGAGGGAACUCUGAUGCAGCGGCGCCGCGUGAGUGAUGAAGGAAUUCGUUUCGUAAAACUCUGUUCUAUGGGAAGAAAAGGACUGUACCAUAGGAGAAAGCUCCGGCUAAAUACGUG